CCUACGGGAGGCAGCAGUGAGGAAUAUUGGUCAAUGGACGAGAGUCUGAACCAGCCAAGUCGCGUGAAGGAUGACUGCCCUAUGGGUUGUAAACUUCUUUUGUAAAGGAAUAAAACGAGGCACGUGAGCCGCUUUGCAUGUACUUUAUGAAUAAGCAUCGGCUAACUCCGUGCCAGCAGCCGCGGUAAUACGUAGGGGGCAAGCGUUAUCCGGAUUUAUUGGGUGUAAAGGGCGCGUAGACGGCGGUGCAAGUCAGAUGUGAAAGCCCGGGGCCCAACCCCGGGACUGCGUUUGAAACUGUGCUGCUUGAGUGUAGGAGGGGUAGGCGGAAUUCCUAGUGUAGCGGUGAAAUGCGUAGAUAUUAGGAGGAACACCGGUGGCGAAGGCGGCCUACUGGACGGUAACUGACGUUGAGGCUCGAAAGCGUGGGGAGCAAACAGGAUUAGAUACCCUAGUAGUC
rnacentral:rRNA from 1 species